GACGAACGCUGGCGGCGUGCCUAAUACAUGCAAGUCGAACGCAGUGGGGACGGGUGAGUAACACGUGGUUAACCUCCCAUCAGAGGGGAUACCACUUGGAAACAGGUGCUAAACCGAUACUGAUGGAUGGACCCGCGUGUCAUGAGCUAGUUGGUGAGGUAACGGCUAACAAAGGCCACGCUGCAUAGCCGACCUGCGAGGGUGGUCGUCCACACUGUGAUUGAGACACGGCCCAGACUCCUACGGGAGGCAACAGGAGGGAAUCUUCGGCAAUGGACGAAAGUGUGACCGAGAAACGCCGCGGGAGUGAAGAAGGUUUUCGGAUCGUAAAACUCUGUUUUUAGAGAAGCGGUAUCUAACCAGAAAGCCACGGCUAACUACGUGCCAGCAGCCGCGGUAAUUG
rnacentral:rRNA from 1 species